rnacentral:rRNA from 1 species
UACGUAGGGACCAAGCGUUGUUCGGAUUUACUGGGCGUAAAGGGCGCGUAGGCGGCGUGUUAAGUCACUUGUGAAAUCUCUAAGCUUAACUUAGAACGGUCAAGUGAUACUGAUGUGCUAGAGUGCAGAAGGGGCAACCGGAAUUCUUGGUGUAGCGGUGAAAUGCGUAGAUAUCAAGAGGAACACCUGAGGUGAAGGCGAGUCCCUGGACAACUCCUGACACUGAGGCACGAAAGCUAGGGGAGCAAACAGG